UAUAAGGUUUUUUUUAAAACCACUCAGAAAAAGAUCAAAUAAAACG
rfam:Chelonia mydas contig223820, whole genome shotgun sequence.